CAACACGGCCUCAAAUAUGCAGAACAUAAAUAGGUGGACAGUAGCAUCAUCAAGAGUGGAAUUUAUGCCCAGUUUAAAUGAAGAUAUAGCAGGCAGCCAUCAUGUAUAUGCAGAACAUAAAUAAUAUGAGCAGCAAUGUUUUAAAUAGCGGGCUAUGCCAAAUAGCGGCGGACCUCAAAAUUAGCUAUAGCCGGCUAUAGCAGGCUAUAACGGACUAUUUGUACAUGAAACCAUUUAGCGGCACCCUGCUGAAAAGGCUAUAGCCGGCUAUUUAAAACUAUGAUGAGCAGGCCAACAUCUAACUUAGUAACAUGUUUAUUUAACUUUGAUUGUCUAGACAUUAUUACAGACAAAAGUAAGAGACAAGCAGCACUUGCCAAGAGCAAGAUUGAUUUGCUUUAGACACGCUCAAGAACUUGGUAACAAAAGACUAUGCAGAAAUUAAAGAAAAACAUAAAAA
rnacentral:lncRNA from 1 species